rnacentral:rRNA from 1 species
UAGGGAAUCUUCGGCAAUGGACGGAAGUCUGACCGAGCAACGCCGCGUGAGUGAAGAAGGUUUUCGGAUCGUAAAGCUCUGUUGUAAGAGAAGAACGAGUGUGAGAGUGGAAAGUUCACACUGUGACGGUAUCUUACCAGAAAGGGACGGCUAACUACGUGCCAGCAGCCGCGGUAAUACGUAGGUCCCGAGCGUUGUCCGGAUUUAUUGGGCGUAAAGCGAGCGCAGGCGGUUAGAUAAGUCUGAAGUUAAAGGCUGUGGCUUAACCAUAGUAGGCUUUGGAAACUGUUUAACUUGAGUGCAAGAGGGGAGAAUGGAAUUCCAUGUGUAGCGGUGAAAUGCGUAGAUAUAUGGAGGAACACCGGUGGCGAAAGCGGCUCUCUGGCUUGUAACUGACGCCGAGGCUCGAAAGCGUGGGGAGCAAACAGGAUUAGAUACCCUGGUAGUCCACGCUGUAAACGAUGAGUGCUAGGUGUUAGACCCUUUCCGGGGUUUAGUGCCGUAGCUAACGCAUUAAGCACUCCGCCUGGGGAGUACGACCGCAAGGUUG